ACUUAGUCAAAUUUUACCACGCCUCACGUUUACACUUAAUUAAACACAACCCCAACCACCCCUCUACACGCCUCACGCCGCCGAUCUGCAAUCAACCGCCGCUGGUGCCGCUCUACCGUCCACAUACACCUCCGCUGCUCUCCUCCAAACGCUGCUGCUGCUUUUCUCAGCUUACGUCGCCGCCGCAGCUGCUCUGCUCUAAACGUUGCUGCUCCGCACUCCACCGCCACCGCCACCGCCGCUACUCUGCUCUGAACGCCGCCGCCGCCGUUUCUUUCCAUAGAGAGAUACAUCACAUGCUUUUGUUGUCCUAGAAGAGCUUGUCAAGGUCUACACUUUAGCAUUGUUGCUAAAGAAAAAAGAAUAAGCUAAAGAUACGUUAAGAGAAGAGUUUAUUACAAAGUAAGAAUUUUGGAGGGUCGUCAGCAAGUGGACCGCAAACUUGAAGAGAUGAAGAAAAUUUCAAUGAUGAGCGCGAGAAGAGAAUGGAAUUAGAGGAAGAUAUGACGAUUCUAAAUGAGAAGAUGGACCAGUUGAUGUACCAUAGUCCUAUAACUCCCGUUGUUCAGUCUCGUAGUCAUGAUUCUGAAGAAUUAUGAGUUUGACCACUAUUUUGUAAUUCACUAUCAACUAUAUUCCAAAGUCAUGACAAUAUCGAACUUCAUGUAAUUUGCAAAAUAUUUAUUAGUAUAUUUAUUAUAUUA